UUAUGACCACCAGGGUGCCCAGGUGCUCACAAUGUUAUGGCUGAUAUGGUAUAUAUAUGUAUGUAUGAGUAAAUGAGGGUCGCCCCUUGAGUAAUAUAGUAAGUAUAGUAUAAGGUAUAAAUAAAGAUUGAAUAUUAGAGACACUGGCUUAUAUUUAUGUACUAGUCGCCAUAAUUGUGUAAUAAUUAUCACUAUUUUUAGUCUCUUAUUGUUUGUGUUCUUUCUGCGAGCAUACUGUGACAAAAUAAAAAUCAUGUCUUUUUGCAGAUGACUUGCACAUGAAAUUAAAAAAUCUGAAUUCUUGGCAACAUUUCAGAAAUGCUGUAAUAAAAGAAACAAAUACAAAAAUAUCAUAAAUAAAGCAUUUGAACUAAAAAUGUGUUUCUGUGGAAGCAUUCUGGCCGAGGAAUUCCUGACCAGCCCUGAGAAGUACAAACAGGAGGCCAGGAAGCACACAGAGGAAACUGCUGCACAAUCACUGGAUGAUAUGGAGAAGAAAUGGGUGGAUCCUGGGAAACGCAUAUACCUCCUCAUCUGAUCUGUCCACUCACCAAAAAGAUCUUUAGGGAUCCAGUAGAAACAAAAUACGGAAGUGUGUAUGAGCGAAAGGCCAUUGAAAAACACCUCAAAUC